AGAGAAUCUUGGUAAUAGCAUAGAUAAACUUGUGAGAUGAGAGGUUCUUCUUUUGGAGUGAGGUUUAGGAAAGGGGAGAUAGAAUCAAUGUCUAAGAGAUAGAAUAUAGAAGAGAGUAGGUGAGACUUAGGUUGAAGCCGAUUUCUAAAGGACUUUAAUUAUAUUUAGAGAUGAGAGCGAGAGAGAGAGAGAGAGGGAGAGGGAGGAAAGAGACAAAUUCAAAGGACGAGCCCUUGGGAUGUAAAAUGGAGAGAUUUUAGGGAAAGGGAGAAGUGAUGGGUGCAAUACAUUUGUUGGUUAGGAACUAAAGUCGAGUGCGGUAAAUAAGAAAUUUUAGUUUACAUUGGUCAUCUUUUGGGAGAUUUAAUUUGAAUCAGAAUACACACGCAUUUCCAAGUUAAUUAGUAUCUAAGAAAAAUGUAUUAUCUAUUUAUUUUUUAUCAAAACUCCUCUAAUAGUAACACUCGUCAAACUGCAAAAGGCCUUGCAACAGACGAAUUCACAAAUUAAAGAGGCUUAGUACAUAGUACUUGUUUUUAAAAUUGGCUUAGAUUUAUUGCCUUUUCAGUUUUUCUGGUUGAUGAUCAGUUAUUCUUUCUUUUGUUUGUGACUAAGUAGAUAGGAAAAUGUGGAUCAUAAAGGAUGGGAAUUUUAUUUUUUUCCAUGGUUUCUAAGGAAAUGAAUGUAAAACCCUUGAGAGCCUCAAGUUUAGCAACUGGUUUAGGCAAUAAUGUACUUAUGUCUUGGUUUAAACACAUGCCCGUUCUUUAGAUAUAUUUGAUUGUGAAGGUUCUGGCAUAUUUUCUUUAUUUCAACUAAAACCUUGACAUUUUGGGUGUUGAAAAUGGUUUUUCUUAUCUCUUUUGAAGAGUGAUGUGUAUGACUUUUAAACUAAAAGCUACUAGGAUUGAUUUUCUAAUACUUAUGGGUAACUGUUAAGACUUACGAACUUUUUAUUGUAGUAAUCACAUUGACAAAGUUGGUGAAAUUUUUUGUGGGAUUGCCAUCUAGCUGGACUCUAAAAGUUGCACGAGUGCCUGAAUUCUCAUUCUAGAGCAAUAUUUUCGGGAGAGGUGCAACUAUGUAGUGGAAGACCCUAAACCACUAUUCUUCAAGCUACUAUCAAACCAUUUCAGCUGCAUCGUGGGCAUUAUAUGGAAGCGACACACCAAAUCU